rnacentral:rRNA from 1 species
CCCUCAGUAACGGCGAAGUGAAGCGGUAACAGCUCAAAUUUGAAAGCUGGCUCCUCUAGGGCCUGCGUUGUAAUUUGCAGAAGAUGCUUCGGGUGUGGCCCCGGUCUAAGUUCCUUGGAACAGGACGUCAUAGAGGGUGAGAAUCCCGUAUGUGACUGGGCGCCUCCGCCCAUGUGAAGCUCUUUCGACGAGUCGAGUUGUUUGGGAAUGCAGCUCAAAAUGGGUGGUAAAUUUCAUCUAAAGCUAAAUAUUGGCCAGAGACCGAUAGCGCACAAGUAGAGUGAUCGAAAGAUGAAAAGCACUUUGGAAAGAGAGUUAAACAGUACGUGAAAUUGUUGAAAGGGAAGCGCUUGCAACCAGACUUGCGCGUGGGUGAUCAUCCGGGCUUCUGCCCGGUGCACUCGCCCGCGCUCAGGCCAGCAUCGGUUUCGGUGGUGGGAUAAAGGCCUUGGGAACGUAGCUCCCCUCGGGGAGUGUUAUAGCCCUCGGUGCAAUGCCGCCCACCGGGACCGAGGACCGCGCUUCGGCUAGGAUGCUGGCGUAAUGGUUGUAAGCGACCCGUCUUGAAACACGGACCAAGGAGUCUAACAUCUAUGCGAGUGUUUGGGUGUCAAACCCAUACGCGUAAUGAAAGUGAACGGAGGUGAGAACCCUGAAGGGUGCAUCAUCGACCGAUCCUGAUGUCUUCGGAUGGAUUUGAGUAAGAGCAUAGCUGUUGGGACCCGAAAGAUGGUGAACUAUGCGUGAAUAGGGGUGAAGCCAGAGGAAACUCUGGUGGAGGCUCGCAGCGGUUCUGACGUGCAAAUCGAUCGUCAAAUUUGCGUAUAGGGGCGAAAGACUAAUCGAACCAUCUAGUAGCUGGUUCCUGCGA